rnacentral:lncRNA from 1 species
ACGUCCUAUUAAGGUCCAAUUUACGUCCGAUUAAGGUCCAAUAUACGUCCCCUCGGACCUUAGAUGGACGUCCAAUGGACGUUCGGUAGCGCGACAUUUGGAC